AAGCACUUCUCCCUCCCGACAGUCCUCUGAUUCUACUUUCCGAAAGGAAGGACAUGGAUCAGAACUUAACCCUAAGUAAUUGUUGGCUCUAGUUCUGCGGUCACAGUUGUUCUUCCAGAAUAUUAGAUGCUCGCCGGCUGAGUGACAACUGUGACGCCGAAAGGUGGAGCAGCUCGAUCAAGGCUUGGGCAUUGAAAGGCUGGAGGGAUAGUCCAGAUGUCGCGAGACGUAAAACAGAUUUCUCCUAUGAGCCGUUCUGGUAAUACCUCCACGCGGGGGAGCUCGUCAUGGUCUUCGGCUGGGCGUUAUACUCUGAUUAUCAUGGAUCGUCUCUGUCGAUGCGGAAAUGGAUGGUAUGGAAAGGAGAUACGAUUCGGAGGGGUACAGGCUCUUCUUCGAGAAGCGGUCUUUGGGAUCUUCGGCAAACUGUUAGAAUCGAUCGAUGCGUUCUCUACACACUCCGACGACAAGGUGGCUCGGACUCGGUGGGAUACAUGAUUGAGCACGAUACUUCCUUUGGAGAGUCUACAAACAGAUUAUCUCCUCUGCGUGUGUUUCCACUUCCUCACGGUCGUGAUUGGCGUUGAUCUCACUCGUCUGAACCAUCUGCUUGCAGGUGCCGCGAGAUUUCGACUGCUUUCAAACAGAAAUACUUCGCAUGAGAUGGUCCUUCACGUGCUCCAGCACUGCGAAGUUUUGACAUAUCGGCCUUGCUCCCGAAUUCAUGCACUCUCAUUUGAUUACCCCUUCCACGGCGUCUACAGAGAUGGGUUCGCUCGGUUCUGUUCAGUGAAGACGUUCCGUACCUCUUCUUCCUGCAGCUUCGGCAGUCAGGACAUCGUUUCCACCCUUUCCAAACCCCAGAAACUCGCGUCCAACGCGCAGUCAGCUCACAAGACCAUCGCCGCGGCACCCGCCCCAGGCUUUGUCACGUUGUGUGAUCCCAAUCAGCCGCAUCAACCUUCUCUCACAGGCCCCGUCCUGUGGUGACGGAGGACGCCGACACAACGUCUUACAUCUUUGAUGCUAGACAUCCCUACCUCCCCGUAUCAUCCUCCUCAUAGAUGGAAACGACUGAGACGAUAGCGGCUUUUGUUGAUGUAUUUUGUCCGUCUUUGCCCUGCUUGGCUUCUAGGCUACGCAGAGGAAACAUAAAACUAAUCUCAAAGGGUCCUGCUAUCCAAACAGAGAGAAACUUCGUCGGCUACGUCGGGGUAGCUGAGCGUCCUUGGCCUGGUCUACUGCAUGUCCGGUCAACUGCUGGUUUCGAGUCCAGCUGAAACGAGAUGUCGAUUCAAUCACUUCGGCGAGGUACGGUCGAGGGAUCAGAUGAAUGGGUGGUGGGGUGCGAAAGACUAGAUGUUGUGGUAAGGGUGCCUUGUUUUGCUCAUACCGCAUCCACAGACUUGGUGCUUUCAGUCCAAGAGGAAAGGAUAUCGCUCAGCGUCCAGAAUGGGACCCAUCUCGAGUUGGUGUCAAAGUCUAGUGCUUGUCUGUUCUGGGAAGCGCGGGGUAGUCUGCCUGACUUCUUGGGUGGGAGGUACUUCUUGGGUGGUGCUGUGGUGGGUUGUGUGCAUUCUUGGAUGCUGGGUGUUACUUUUUGCUGGCCUAUCGUUGAAUUCUGGACAGGCCUGGUGGUGGGCAGUCCUGGGUUGUCCCUCGUCUGUUGAUACAGGCUUGGGGCAGCCCCUCCUUUUUGGGG
rnacentral:telomerase_RNA from 1 species